rnacentral:lncRNA from 1 species
CAGGAAUGCAGAAGUCCAGAAACUCAACCUCUUCUUUGGAGGGUCCUUGGGCUGAAGGCCAAAUCAUUUGAGUUAAGUAAGUCCCUUACCUUUCAAACUCAAAGUGUUUGCUAUCCACAGCCAGCUUAUUUGGCUCAAAGCAUGCCACCAAAGGAAAUGCUGCUUCCUCAGUUGCAGGCAAUGUCAAGACAGCAAAUGGUCUUGCCUCAAGAACAGUCAAACACAGGACCAAUACCUCAUGAGUUACAGAGAUAUAAGGACUCUGGAAUCCUUCAACCACCAGAACUGAAGAUACAGAUAGACCCACAGACCCAGAUAAAGGGGACACUUUUUGAUCAGGGAAUAACGCUAACAAAUCCAGGGAUGGAACAAGAAUUGCUUCACCACCAGCAGCGUAGAAGUCCUGAAACACCUCCUCUUUUGUGGUGGGCCUUGGAGCAAGCCCAGCAAGGGAUGCCAUACAGAGAGCAGCUGAUAUCUCCUGAGUCCAAGAAAAUAAGCAACCCACCAAAAAUCCAACUUGAGGAAAAACCUCAAGUGAGAUCUGAGGCACUGAAACCAAAAGAACUCACAGAUCAAAAGAUCUGCAGUUCUCAAAAACUGAAUGAAUCAGGAACCCCUCUGAAUGAGACAUUCCAAGAAGAAAAUGUGACUACAGAUGCUCUUCUUUACUCUUCCCAACAGAUAGCAAGGAGCUUACAGAAUAUAGAGGGAUCUCCAACAAAGAAAAUGACUGUAUUAUCUCAGGAGACCAAAGAUCAAGAAACCUUUAUGGUCCAGGAAAAAGUGUCUAAAAUGUGCGAUUACCAUGGAAGUUGUUGUUCACUUGUCCCUCAGCUUCAGGAACCUCAGAAGGAUUCAGAUAGCAUUAAUAUUCUACACACAUCUCUCCAGUCCCAGUCAAAGUGGCAAAGUGAUCCCAAAGAUUGUGGUCCCUUAUUGGAGUCACAAACACUAAAGGAAACACAAUUGACAAAAUCUGAAGUUCUUCAGCAUGUGAAGCUAGAAGCUAGUCCAGUACUUGCUUAUCAGUGCCAAGGAACUAAGGAUCUCAUGAGCAUUUUCUCCCAAGGACAGUGUGAAACAGACACCUGUGAG